GGUACAUAUGUCAUAACUGACUUAACCACUAUCCUUUGGUUGAAUUGUUUUCUUUUCUUUGCUUUUCUCCCCCAAUAUUAUAUGCCCCAGCCUCGAAGGGAGAUGACAUAACCUGGGCUACUACAACAUGGAAUUCUGGGAGUGAGACCCUGUGAAGCCAAAUUAAAGGUUGCUAAGGAAACAUGGCAACAGCACUCACGUGAUCUCCCUGCUCUAGAGAGAAUCUGGCCCAGCACAGUCACUAAGUCAGGAGGAGGGAAGCAAACUUGAGAUAGAUCCCAGGCAGUAAUUCGUGUUCAAAGGGAAAUAAAACUCUAAGGAAAAGGACUGAGGUCAUGGCAUUAGAAGAAGAAACGGAGGAGUCAUUUGAAAGAUAUCCAGAUCUUUCAGAAAUGGUGAGAAGGAACAAGAAAAUACUUCAGAAUAUUUUGCUGAGAAAUUUGCCUCACAAUUUGGGAGUAACGUCCAAGACCUAAGGAGAUAAGAAGUAUCUCAGGCCAAAAAAAAAAAAAAAGGCAAAUAAGCAAAUACCAUCUUCCUUUCCUCAACCUGGCCAGGAUAGAUUGACUAAGAUGUUGCCCGACAGGAUUGCCAAGCUUCGUGUUUCUCUCCGGGCACUUUUGCACAUGGUCUUAACACAGGAUAGGAACAUUUCAGAACUUGAUUCAUCAAUGGAUCCAGUUCCGCCCAAUGAUAAUGCACUGAGUUUCAUCCCUAAGUCUACGGCUCCCGUUUAG
rnacentral:lncRNA from 1 species